rnacentral:lncRNA from 1 species
CCAGCCUGUGACUAUCAAGGCAACAGGCUCUUGUAUGAGUCUAAUUCACUUGCAUAAUUUUUGGAGGUAAAAUGUCUUAUUGAUAAAAUUGAGGAGGCAAGAAUUAUGCACACACAGUGAUUUUUAUUCCAUUAUGUUGAAAGAAUUCUGGCAGGCAGCUGCUGGCCAGAGCACACUAUCUUCCAGUGUCUCCCACCUGCAAAAUCUGAGGAUGAACACACCCAUAACUAAUGAAAAUUUCAGAGGGAGAUGAUAACCUCAUAAAGUGUAAUAGGAUUCCAUCUGAAAGUGCCACGGGUGAAAGCCUUGGCUAUUCAACCCAUAGUAACGCAGAGAUAAGUAGAAUUUGUAGUUUUGAUAUUCAUUCUUAAGGAAAGAGAAAGAAGAAAGAAAUUCUUACAGGUAACAGGAGGAAUGCUCUUUUUACGCCUUUGCACAAAUCUGACAGAAAUAGAGAAAAACAGAAGAAAUUACUUCAAAUAUAAACAGUGCGAAUUCACACUAUCAAAAAGGUGAACAGAAUGAUAUCUCUCCACACUUCAUUUUGCAAAAAAUAAGUGCGGCCUAUGGUUGCAAAUAACCAACUGUACGAUGUUAUACAACAUUUUCCCUCUAAAAACACCAGGAAUAAUACAGAAUCAACCUCCAAAUUAUUACAUGUGGGGAAAUAUAUUUGGAUUUAAAUUUAUCAAAUAAAUGAUGAAAACUCUUCUUUACAGUUUCUAUCUCGAGUUGUACCCACCCUCGCAUUAAGUAAAUAGACCUUCUUACCCUUUGUCAGGUGGAAUGAAACGGGCAACCACUCUUUGUGAUGCUAUUCUUAAUUAAUAGUAGUUUUAGCAAAAGAGGGGUAUAGAAGAAAGAUUAGUAAUGUUUGGAUCCACCAAACUAGGUUUGAGUUCUUCUUCUUUUAUGCUGGGUAAACUUCAUUCUCCUAAUAUCACUGAGCCACUGUUUAUUAAUGUGUCAAGAGGAAAUUGUGGUAACAACUUGCCUAUCUCGUAGAAUUUGACUGAAAGAUAUAUUCUCACAUAAAAGUACUUAGAAGAGCUUGGAAAUAUUUUCCUCCCGUUAAUGACAACAUUAGGCUUUGAAAACAUCUGGAGUUUGGGAAAAGAGGACACAGGGGGAGCAGUGUGACUUCUCCAAGGUCAUUUACAAAGCCCAUGACUGAGCAGUAGAGUGUCCCUUCAGGUGUGAGGCUCUCGUUCUGGUCCUCCAGGCCAAAACAUGGGCAUCUCUUCUCGGGAGAGCUCUCUUAGCCUUGAGUGAAAUAAAUAGCCUUCUUCAUCAAAUGGUGUUUGCAGUCUGAUAACGGUGAAGGCAGCUAAUUAAGCACUGUCUUUGCUGCCCAGCAGUUGCUAGAAGCAUAGUACAGUUCCCCAAAGUCAUGUGCAUUCAGUGGCAAAUCUGCCACGUUGCCCUAGGCUGACCUGUGUGUUAGAGAAACUGGCUUGAAAACAGGGUGAACAAGACUUGUGAUAGAACAUGAUGGAAGAUAAUAUGAGAAAAAGAAUGGAUACAUAUAUGUGACUGGGUCACUUUGCUGUACAGUAGAAAUUGACAGAACAUUUUAAACCAACUAGAAUAAAAAUUAAUGUAUAUAUUAUAUAUAUGACUAAAAGGUUUUUUUAUAAAUAUAUAUGUAGAUGUAAAGCAGGUUUAUGAAAAAAAUCACACAUGUAAUACCAAAAAUCAGGGAGCAGUAAUUUACUUUACAAAAGGGCUCAUUAGAGAUGGCUGCUUCAACUCUACUGAUGAUAUGUUAAUAAUUAAUGCAUAAAACAGCUUUCUAACUGCUUGCCAUGUCAGUGGAGUGAUCACAGUACUUUAUAGAUUUUUGAGCAUGUCCUUGCAUGUAAAAUUUAGAAUUGCCUCAAUUAGACUUUAAAAAAAUGUUCAUCAGCAGCUUUCUCAAUAUGUCAGUGCUUAUAAGACAAGAAUGAAAAGGGGGAUGACCUGAAUCUGACGAUACUGUUCAUAACCUACAUUUGCAACUAUUGCGGGACUGACAGUGUUUUCAGUGGUAGCGUUACUGAAAGGGGUCUGGCUGCUUACCUCUCUAAAGCCAAUAAAGAGGCAAGGCUGGUGGAAAGGAGUGUUUGCUGUAUUUCAGAGGCUGCCAACUGAAGGAGGGGAGAGGAGGGUGGACUCAUGUCCAAAGGCUGACUCUCCCCACUGACAAUCAGCAGGCAGAAGUUUAAGGGGAGCUUCAGGUGGAAAGAGGGGGCUACAUGCAGAAACAGCACAGUCAGCACUGAUAGUCAUCCUGACAUUAAUUAUGCCGCCACCUGACUGAUCAUUGUCAUCCUGAUUGUUUUAAAUACAGUUAACCUUCAGUUCCCAGGGUCAAUUUUUUCCCAUUUCUUUGAGACCACUUCUCAGAAUUGUGGUUGCUUAUAUCAUGGCUAUAGUCUGGUCAUCAGGAAGUUAAUUUCUUCUGCCUGGUGGGGGUUUUAGUAUCUAUAAGACAGCCAAGAGAAUAUUGCUCAGAAUAUGAUCUAUAGCCCUUGAGGAGGAACUAAAGGUCCUUGACUUUGCUUAAUGACUAAACUAUUACUGUUUUUGUCCUAUUUGACUAUUUUCCUUUGCUUCUGCAUUUCCUCACUUCUAUGAUUAAAUUAAUUCUUUAAAUAAAAGUUUUUCUACAGACAAAAGCAGGUGGAGGGCAUGAGAGGGGAAGGACCCUAGGGUCCUGCCCCAUUUCAGUAGCAAAUAAAUGCCAGAUGUCAUGCGGAAUAAAAAGUCAUUGAUCAUAGCAAGGAUCAGUUGAUGUCUAUCAGUUCUAAAAUGAGUUUCCCUUUACUCAGCUUGCUGGCUUUAAACAACCAGCUUAUUAUACAUGCUGUGUAUUUUGCUUCAUGUCCGUGGUGAAACAGUUUUUGUCUCAUUACCUUCCAUUGGGAAGACUGGCUCCAGUUCUGCAUAAAACAGAGAGAGCACAUCCCCCUCUCUGCCUCCCACUGAAUGCAGCAAUAGAGUUUGGAUGGAAUGCAUGGAACAGCUAUUUCAGGUAGAUGAAAAGCAAUAGUAGUGUGCAGAUUAAGGAACAAGACUAAAAUUCAAAAUACUGCCUAACCCCACUCUGCACUAAACAGAGCCCAAAAUACAUAGGAAAGCUUUAGGAUGUGGACAGAGAGUGAUAUAGGAGAAUCUCUCUAGUUCUGGCUAAAUAAGAAAGGUCCUCUCAUCCUCAAAGACACUGGGGAUGUACCCCAAUAUUGUUCUUUGAUCUCUUAUGUGGCCCUUACGUGAUCUUUUGGUUGUCGUAGCAGUGGCAGUGAUAGUGGCUGCAUUGGGACCUGACAGGAGUCUAAAACUCUGAGAACAGGAAACUGUCCUUUUGAUGAGAAUGUUGUAAUACCAGGAAGAUGGGGGUGAAUCUCCACUGCUUUAUUUAUUUAUUUAUUUAUUUAUUUGAUUGAUUGUCUUUGACCUCCUACUGUUCAGCGCUGGAUAUGAGCCCAUUUGUGGAAAUAUGCAAAGAGCUGAGUAAAUAAAGCCCAUCUUUCUGAUCAGAGAACCACAAAGCAUUGCCCGAGGGAACCAGACAGUACUGAGGGGAUCAUUGAGAUGGAGGCACUCAGAUUUCCUGUUGUGGCUCAGUGGGUUAAGAACCUGACUGGUAUCCAUGAGGAUGCAGGUUCAAUCCUUGGCCUCGCUCAGUGGGUUAAGGAUCUGGUAUUGCUGCAAGCUGCAGUGUAAGUCACAGAUACCGCUCAGAUCUGGUGUUGCCAUGGCUGUGGUGCAGGCCUGCAGCUGCAGCUCUAAUUGGACCCCUCGCCUGGGAACUUCUGUAUGCUGCAGAUGUGGCCCUAAAAAGAAAAAAAAAAAA